UUAGGAGGAAUUACACUUUCACUUUCGUUCACUUACUCGCUACUGUACACUCUUAAUGCUACUUUACACUUAAAUGGAACUUAACUAAACUUCACUAAAAUUAACGAACUUAACUGAAAUUCUGUCAGGACCACUUUGUCAAAUGAGAAUUUAUUAGAUGAUAUGCGUAGUAGGGCAGUCUAGGUACCGCCCUAUUAAACAUGGUUUUCACCUGAAUGUCAGGUGCGACAGCCUAUUGGCUGCUGCUCUGGGUAUAUUUAAGGCGUAGUUUACGUCAUCUGGCUACGCAUCGUACAGCCAUUAUUUUGUGUGGGUGUGUGCGCGCAGUUUGCGCCAGGUUAUGGUCGCGAUUGGGACGACGUUGCUGUUGGGUACAGGCUGUCCUUCCCUCCAGUUUGUGUGCUCUAGAUCACCUGCAUAUUUGCUGUUUGCCGCUUAUGGAUAAAGCUGUGAGUAACUGAGCCCGUGGGUUUAGCGAUCUACUUCCGGUGCAUCUGCUCGUGAGCCCUUCGUCACUGUGGACUGCAGGGCCAACGCUCUUUAGACAGCGUUAAGACUGCACUGUUUGUUCUGCUGCUACUUUUACGAUUGUGACUAUUUGCAUUUUAUUAUUACUUUCUGGUCUUGUUUGUUCUUCACGCUCAUGCUGGUGGGUUAGGUGAAGAGUGGCUAGUCCGAGUUGUUAUUUAAAGCGAGCUGUACCGUUCACGGUGCUUGCUUAGCGCCACCGGCUGUUAUAUUGCCACCAGCAGCGUGUUUGUUUUGUUUAUUUAUUUGGUUGUUUUUUUGUUGGAUCUGCGCUCUUCCUAAGGACGGCGUGGAAGAAUCGGGUAAUAUCUCGUAACUGGGAAGAUUUAGUUCCUAUUUGUUUUGUUUACUGUUGAUUUGAGUCUUUUGGCUGAAAGCUCUUUUCAGCUUUAAGUUUUUGUUUUUUUGUAUUUUAUGUGAUUUAAUUUGAAGCCUGUUGUCUUCAUUUGUAUUGUUGGUUUUAUUUCUUUUUUCCUGGUUUUGUUCUUCUCCUUCACCUCUUGCUGCUCCAUGGCAUGUCUAGGUUCAUGAGCUUUUAGCAUGAACCUAGUUGAGUCUUUACAUCUCUCUGCCUGACCCUUGUGGCCAGUAAAU